AGGCGUACAAAGUAACCGUCAAAAUUUCGAGGAAAGUCCGAGCAAGUUCAGGCAGGAAAGCCGCUAACGGCGGCCGCAGCGGGACCUCAAAAACCCGCUCUAGGGAAAGUGCCACAGAGACGAGCAACGUGAAACGCCCCUUCUGUUUAGCGCCGCGCAAGCGGACGUGGAACAUGGGGAGCCCCUUCGUAAGAAGGAGCGCGUGGUAAACCCUUUCCCUUGCAAGGUGAGAUUGGAGGUUUGGAAUCGGUGGCCUGUCACCCCAAGCCGCUCACCGCAUGAGCCCUUCAGCAAUGAAAGGCCCAGAGAGAUGGUCACUAAGCCAAAAGGAGAUUAAACUCACCUCUUGGCCCAUACAGAACUCGGCUUACAAGAAGCUCCAUCAA
rnacentral:RNase_P_RNA from 1 species